UACGUAGGGUGCGAGCGUUUGUCCGGAAUUAUUGGGCGUAAAGAGCUUGUAGGCGGUUUGUCGCGUCUGCUGUGAAAUCUCAAGGCUCAACCUUGAGCUUGCAGUGGGUACGGGCAGACUAGAGUGUGGUAGGGGAGACUGGAAUUCCUGGUGUAGCGGUGAAAUGCGCAGAUAUCAGGAGGAACACCGAUGGCGAAGGCAGGUCUCUGGGCCACUACUGACGCUGAGAAGUGAAAGCAUGGGGAGCGAACAGG
rnacentral:rRNA from 1 species